GAACUAGAAUGUGAAACAUAAGGAUAAAAUGUAUAAGAUGAUGGUAGAUAUGGAGAAAAGAGAAUUAAGAGAUGACUUAAGAUGGGUAAGUGAUCUAAGAAAGGAAACACUUGGAAAGUGUCUACUCAUUCUUUUCUAAUGUUUUCAUUUCAUUCUCUUCAAACUACUGCUAUUCUCCACUUAACUCACUCGACCUAGACUUCUUUCAUCAUCAUGCCUCUGAAUCUAGUAGAAUUAAGACCAUAUCUAUUUCUUAAGGCUAAAAUCCAUAGUCACAUUGCAGAGCUCAUCUAAGUCUACUUAUUAGCAUCACUUGACACAGUUUACUACUUCCUUCUUGAAGUAUUUCCUUCUCUACUGCUGAAUAUUCUACUUUUCUGGUUGCUUUUUUUCCGGUGUCUUUUGAGAGCUCCAGGUUUGUUCAAUCACCAAAUAUUGGAAUGCUUAGUCCUGGGUCUCCAUCUUUAUCUACAAUCAUCUAACCCUCUCCCUAGUGAUGUUACUGCCAAAUUUAGAUCUCCAUCUUUAAUUUACAUUUGUUAUUGUUGCCCUGACUCUUGAUUUGACUAGGAAGUCAAAUAAAUUCUCAAAAUUAACAUGACCAAAAAAAGAUUCUAUUUCUUCCUCUGAAAACAUAUUUCUUCCCGAAUGGUUCAUUUUUAAUAAAUGUUACCACUAACCUUCCAAUUGCUGACUUCGAGAAACCUGCAGUUAUUCUAGAAUUUUUUCUUUCCUUUACUAGCCUUCUCCCCAUGCCCAACC
rnacentral:lncRNA from 1 species